UUGACUACCAUCUCGAUGGUUAAGGAUGAUGGACAACAUGAGCUGCAGGAUCUUCCGGUUAUUGCAGAGUAUGAGGAUAUAUUUGUGACCUUUGGAAAGGCCACCACAUGACACAUGAGAAACUCUUGCGAUUUGUUUGGAGCAAACAACACCAGUUUCACAAGUUUUAUACCCAUUAGCACCAACAGAGAUGACAAAGCUGAAAGAGCAUGUUGAAGAUUCAUCAGACAAGGGUUUUAUCAGACCGGAUACUUUACCGUGGGGAACAUCAUCAUUGUUGUUGUAAAGAAGAAAGGUGGGAGUGUCAAUUUUGUAUCGACUACAAAGGUCUGAACAAAGUGACCAUUAAAGAUAAGUAUCGCUUCCGCGCAUUGAUGAAUUAUUGGAUUAUUUACAGGAAGUUUAUAGUUCUUGAAGGUUGACAUGGCAUCAGAACACCAUCAGAUUACUAUAUUUGAAGAGUAUCUACUGAAUGUAAAUUUUUGUAUACAUUAUGGAUAUUAUGGGACGCAGUGAUACCAUUUGGCUCGACAAAGGCACUGUUGCAUUCAUGAAGAUAUGAAUGACGUUUUCAUGAACAUUUGGAUAGGUGUGCGAUUGUAUUCAUCGAUGACAUCCUGAUUUAUUUUGGAGAAGAAAGGAGAUUUGUGAGCAUUUCGCGGAUUGCGUUGGAUAAGCCUGGAGAGCAUCAGUUGUUCGCUAAGUUGAGGAAGUGUAGCUUCUGGCAAAGGAAUGUUGUAUUUUUGGCUGACAUGGUUUUGGAAGCAGAAUUUUGAUGGAUCCAAAGAAGAUUAAUACCGUUUCGGGAAGGUCGAAACCUAAGAGCGCUACAAAGAUCUGCCGUUCUUUUUGGGUUAAUAGUGUACUACUGGAAGUUCAUCAAGGGUUUCCCCGGUAUAGUAAUGUUAAAGACGCGGUCUACAUGUAAAGACGUAAAGUGUGGCUGGAUAGAUUUUGUUCGAGGAGUUUCACUGAAUUGAAGCACAACUAAUGAAGACACCAGUUUUGGGUUCUACUGAGGCUGAGGCUUACUGUGAUGUGUCAGAUACUGGAUUGGAUUUAAAUUAAGGUAUGAGGAUUAAGUCAUUCAUAUGCAUCAUGCCAGAGAGGCUGUAGUGGUAUUUGCGUUAUAGUUUUGGAAAUCAUAAUUGUACGGGAAGGAAGUUUAGAUUCUCUGGGAUUAUUAGAAUGUGAAAUUUAUCUUCAUUUAUUAAAAACUUGUACUUGGACAGUGCAAUUGGAUUGAGUUUGUAGCAAGCUAUAGUUUGGAUAUCACAUACUAUCUGGUAAGGACAACCAGGUGAUAAAUGCCUUGGGUAGGCGUAUGAGCUGUAUCUCAGGAACCAAGAAGGUUCAUGAGUUUACUGGGAGAUUUGCUAGUCUCAGGUUGGGUGCCAUUACUAUCAAUGGAGAGACAGAUGUCCUUGAGGAUUGGAGCAUGCAGUUUUGCUAUGGAGGAUACGCAAGCACAAGUUAGCAUUGGAUUUGGUUGAACAGAUCGAGAUUGAGAGUAUUGGAUAUCAUACAGCUUUGAGCAGGAUAUACUUGUACCGGAACCGAGUUUGUGUGUUGGACGAUAAGUUGUUAAGAAAAAGAAUCUUACAACAAACAUAUCACUCGAGUUUCUCUACCCAUCGGGAACACCAAAGGGUACAAAGAUAUGAAGAGUUAACUAUAAUUGGUGUAGUGUGAAGAUGUUUGUAACUACAUUACGUCGCGGUGCCAGACAUGUUAUCGGGCAAUGACAGAGGAUCAGUUAUCUAUUAUGUUAUUUUUUGAGCUUGUUUUUGCCGGAGUGGAAAUGAGGCAUGGUGAUUAUGGACAUUGUUAUUGGAUUUUAAAUCACCAUAUGUGGAAAGGAUGCCACAUGGGUAGUCAUGGAUAGACUUACAAAGUCAGCCCAUUUCCUAAGUAAUUAAGAAGAUAAUCAGGGCUAAUCAAUUGGAGCAGACCUACAUUAUUGAGUUUGGGAAGUUUCAUGGAUGUCAACAUUGUAUCGGAUUGAGAAUCGAAGUUCACAUCUACAUUUCAGAGAGCCUUUCGGAAGGCACUUGGGACAAAGAUCAUAUGAGUACAUCUUAUCACCCGUUGACAUAUUGUCAGUCAGAGAGGACUAUUCAGACUUUGGAGGAUAUGCUCAGAGCUUGUGUUUUAGAUUGGGAAGGUAGUUGGGUGAAGUAUCUACCUCUAGCCGAGUUUGCCUACAACAACAGCUAUCAUUCGAGUAUUGGGAUGGCACCAUAUGAGGCUCUAUAUGGUAGGCCUUGUCGCACGCCACUUUGUUGGACGGAAGUGGGAGAACAACGUGAGAUAGAACCAGCCAUGGUUCAAGAGACAGUCGAACAGGUCGAGAUGCUCAAGAUGCGGCUUAAGGAAGCCCAUGACCGUCAGAAGAGUUAUGCAGAUAAACGGCGAAGAGAUUUGGAGUUUCAAGUUGGCGACCUAGUAUACCUGAAAAUGAGGACAUUUCAGGGAGGAUCUAAGACUCGGAAGCUAAAGAAGCUUAAACCAAGAUAUAUGGGACCAUAUCCUAUUUUGGAGCGGAUUGGAGCAGUUGCUUACCGACUAAAUUUAUCAGGAGAGUUAUCAGAUUUCCAUGACGUGUUUCAUGUUUCCGUUUUGAGGAAAGUAGUGAGAGAGCCAGAGCUCAUUUUGCAGCAACCACCUAGAAACCUUGGCAAAGGGUUACGUGGGUUGUGCCAGCCAGUAGAGAUAUUGGAUCGCCAAGUGAAAGCAGAUCGUGGAAUGAUGACCAUGUUGAUCAAGGUUCGUUGGGAGGGAGACGGAAUUCAGGAGGAUACCUGGGAGUCCGAGCCCCAAAUGAGGAUUGAUUAUCCAGAGCUGUUUCGGGAUGUCAUUGGAGAGUUUGGAGAUGUGAAUUCGGGGUCGAAUUCCUUGUUAGUGGGGGAGAAUUGUAAUGACCCACCUCCACUAUCCCCACUAUCUCCACCAUCUCCACCAUCCCCACCACUCCCACCAUCUCCACCAUCCCCAACUUCUUUAAAGAGAAAGAGAGAGAGAGGGAGAGAGAGAGAGAGAGAGAAAGAGAGAGAAAGCUCACCUGAGCUCGUCGCCGGAGCAACCGUGUGCCGUGAUCACGUUCAGCUUGCCACCACCGAUAAACGCCCUAGGUAACCGCCGAAAACCGCAUUUCUUAAGCUCAUUUUCGUUUCCGUUUAGUAAAUCACCCAUAACUUCCUAACCAUUGAUCAUCUCGUACAUCCAAGGCCAUCAUCGUGUUCCUCUCGUCGAGACGAAGCCGUAGACACCAACCACGCCUCAAACGGAGCCCGGACGAAGCCGCACGCGCCUCCCGAAGAUUCGCCUCGGCGCGCGCGUGAAACACACGCGCCACCGCCUUCCGCCGGAGCCACCGCGAGUUCCGGCCACGCGCCGCCGUCUCCGACCAACGUUCGCCGGAGCUGCCGUGACCGACCACCGUCCGUCCGCCGCCGAGAAGCCGCCGCCGCGUCGCCGCCUCGCCGCCGUCGCCGCCGUUGAUUUUCCGGUAAGCCGCCGGGGACCGACACCGGUGACUCGCCGGUGACUCGCCAACUCGGCCGAGUCAACCCGGUGAGUCAACUCGGUGACUCGGUCAACCUGUGGUUUGACCGGUUUAAAUCGAUUUCGAUUCGGUUAGGUUAAACCGGUCGGAUAAAAUCAAUUGGAAAUCGGUUAGGGAAAACCGGAUUAAUUAAUUAAUUAAUUAAAUAAUUAAUCUUUGACCAGCGGGUUGACUUUUCCGUAAAUACCCGUUUUAAACCGUUCGAAAGGCGUUCUGACUCGAAAUUUCGAUCUGAUUUCAGAUUUGGAGUCCAUUUGAGCAGCUGGAGUUCAUAGAUAUCUCUUAUUAUUGCUAAGGUGAGGGUCUAUUCCCGAACUCCUCUUAUUCGGCUUAGGACCUCGAAUAAGUAUAAUUUAUUUCUAAUGUGUGAAAUCGAGUCUGUCAUUGCUUGUUUAGUUUUAGGUUCUUUGCAUAAACCGGAACUAGGGGGUUAGAGGAUUCAACAUUGAUUGUUUCACUUAAUGUAAAUUCUUAGCUAGGAUUGUUUUUGUUUGGAGACGGAUACAGAGUCGGACUGCUGUAUGCCGGAUUGUAUGGAGGUCACGGCCAACUUUAGUCGACCGGUUGAGCCGUAGACUGGAAGUGUCGAUAAAUCGUCUACGGGCGUGUGUUACCGAGCACUUUUUCGGUGUGUGUAUGAACCGAGCACCUUUUCGGUAGUGUUUUGGCCUGUUAGUGGGCAGCGAGUGUGCACCUCGCUAGGACCAUUGUUUGUUGUUUGGGUACUUUAGGUACUGUGUUUGACAUGCAUUAUAAUUAAAUUAUAUUUAUUCGGAGUGCUAUGUCCGGGUCCAUGGACUUCGGGGUGGCAUUCCCUACCUCACUGAGCGAUUCCCCUGUCGCUCACCCCUCACUCUUCCCCCUUUCAGGUGAGACAAACAAGUAUGUGAUAUUUGGACGGACUUGGUGCUACUGGACUUUUCUUUCGGAUUUUAUUUGGGCAUGGGUGAGAGUUGUCGGGUUUAUGGGCUUUUAUAUUACGGGAUAUUGUUGGUGGCCCGUCGUCCUUAGUGUCAGGGAGACGGGUGUCACAUUGUUGUAUGAUGACGCGUCGGGGGUGACACGCUGUCCUCCAUAUAGGAGGUGACGGGUGUCACAAUCAUAUCUUUUUCAUUUCAUCUCAUUAAAAGCUACAACCUUUUCUACGUGUAUCCAUCAUCACCAUAUAAAAAAUCUAACAAUAUCUCUGAACGAAAUAGUGACAAUUCAUUAAUAUCCACGCAAAGCAACAAAAUAUCUCAUUUUAUGAAUUUGUAGUUGUCUUUGUCAAAUGUAGAUGAGCAUGAGCAGCCCGCAGUUCCACCACCCGCGGCUCCACCAGUUGAUCAGGAUGCAUUGAGACAGAUGGUUCAGGAUGCCGCUAGACAGGCCGCUCAGGAAGCACUUCAGCAGAUUGCCCAGGAGGCAGCCAGGCAGGCCGCUCAGGAGGCCGCCCGAGUAGCUGCUCAGGAGGUUGCUCGUCAGAUGGCUACCGUUCAGCAUAUGAGCCAUUGGUUGGCAUGUGUUGUUGUGUGUACGAGUAUAUUGACUAUUUUGGAGAUAUAUUUGUUUUGUGAACUCGUGGAGAUCGCUUUUGAAUUGGGGUGCAGCAGCUUGCGUUGUGUGGGUGUUGGAGUUACACUUUGGUAUGUUUACCAAUUUUGGCAGUGUUGAUCGUUUCAGAGAUGUGUCAGUUUGGACAACUGACAUAGGACAUUGGGAGCUAUUUAUAUUCAUCGCAGUGUACCAGUUAUGCUUGGAGGGCCGAUUUGUUCGGAUAUUCAUCAGAGAUGGAGCUACGUUUUUACGACGUUAUCCUUGGGACAGAUUGAUUGUCACGGCAUCAAGUAGUGUUGGAUUGCCUGAGGGCAAGAGUUCCGAUUGCUGGAGCAGAUGGAAGUUGUUAGUGCAUGCAUGCUACAUACUGAGGAGUUAUGGGAUACAAGGACAUAUAGAUUUUUGACUACCAUCUCGAUGGUUAAGGCUGAUGGACAACAUGAGCUGCAGGAUCUUCCGGUUAUUGCAGAGUAUGAGGACAUAUUUGUGACCUUUGGAACGGUCACCACAUGACACAUGAGAAACUCUUGCGAUUUGUUUGGAGCAAACAACACCAGUUUCACAAGUUUUAUACCGAUUAGCACCAACAGAGAUGACAAAGCUGAAAGAGCAUGUUGAAGAUUCAUCAGACAAGGGUUUUAUCAGACCGGGUACUUUACCGUGGGGAACAUCAUCAUUGUUGUUGUAAAGAAGAAAGGUGGGAGUUUCAAUUUUGU
rnacentral:lncRNA from 1 species